rnacentral:rRNA from 1 species
UACGUAGGUGGCAAGCGUUGUCCGGAAUUAUUGGGCGUAAAGGGCGCGUAGGCGGCUUUGCAAGUGACGGGUGAAAUCCCUCGGCUUAACCGAGGAACUGCCUGUCAGACUGCAUGGCUCGAGACCAGGAGAGGUGAGUGGAAUUCCCAGUGUAGCGGUGAAAUGCGUAGAUAUUGGGAGGAACACCAGUGGCGAAGGCGGCUCACUGGACUGGUACUGACGCUGAUGCGCGAAAGCGUGGGGAGCAAACAGG